rnacentral:rRNA from 1 species
GAUGAACGCUGGCGGCGUGCUUAACACAUGCAAGUCGAACGGGAAACCUUUUAAUGCAGCUUCGGCAGAUUUAGCUGGUUUCUAGUGGCGGACGGGUGAGUAACGCGUGGGUAACCUGCCUUAUACAGGGGGAUAACAGUCAGAAAUGACUGCUAAUACCGCAUAAGCGCACAGGACCGCAUGGUCCGGUGUGAAAAACUCCGGUGGUAUAAGAUGGACCCGCGUUGGAUUAGCUUGUUGGUGGGGUAACGGCUCACCAAGGCGACGAUCCAUAGCCGGCCUGAGAGGGUGAACGGCCACAUUGGGACUGAGACACGGCCCAGACUCCUACGGGAGGCAGCAGUGGGGAAUAUUGCACAAUGGGGGAAACCCUGGUGCAGCGACGCCGCGUGAAGGAAGAAGUAUCUCGGUAUGUAAACUUCUAUCAGCAGGGAAGAUAGUGACGGUACCUGACUAAGAAGCCCCGGCUAACUACGUG